rnacentral:rRNA from 1 species
UACAGAGGGUGCAAGCGUUGUUCGGAAUUAUUGGGCGUAAAGCGCGUGUAGGCGGCUUUGCAAGUCGGGUGUGAAAGCCCUCGGCUCAACCGAGGAAGUGCGCCCGAAACUGCAGAGCUUGAGUACCGGAGAGGAUGGCGGAAUUCCCCAAGUAGAGGUGAAAAUUCGUAGAUAUGGGGGAGGAACACCGGUGGCGAAGGCGGGCCACCUGGACGGAUACUGACGCUGAG